GAUCUAUCCAUGUCCAGGAUGAAGCUGCCGUAAGAGGUAGUGGAGGUCCGAACACACAUCCGUUGAAAAGGGUGGUGAUGAGGUGUGGAUAGGGGAGAAUUCCAAUCGAACCCGGAGAUAGCUGGUUCUCCUCGAAAUAGCUUUUAGGGGCUAGCCUUCAGUUAGUCUGCCGCAGGUAGAGCACUGAAUUUCCUAGGGGGCGUCAAAGCCUACCGAAGAAUAUCAAACUGCGAAUGGCGGACAGAUGAUGCUGGGGAGUCAGACUGCACGAGAUAAGUUGGGUGGUCAAAAGGGAAAGAGCCCAGACCUACAGCUAAGGUCCCAAAGUGCGUGUUAAGUGGAAAAGGAUGUGGGAUUUCGAAGACAACUAGGAUGUUGGCUCAGAAGCAGCCACACAUUAAAAGAGUGCGUAAUAGCUCACUAGUCGAGAGGUCCUGCGACCGAAAAUGUCUGGGGCC
rnacentral:rRNA from 1 species